rnacentral:rRNA from 1 species
ACACGGUCCAGACUCCUACGGGAGGCAGCAGUGGGGAAUUUUGCGCAAUGGGCGAAAGCCUGACGCAGCAACGCCGCGUGGAGGAUGAAGGUCUUCGGAUUGUAAACUCCUGUCAGUGGGGAAAAAGGGGAACGGGCUCAUACCCCGUUUCAUUGAUUGUACCCGCAGAGGAAGCCCCGGCUAACUCUGUGCCAGCAGCCGCGGUAAUACAGAGGGGGCAAGCGUUAUUCGGAAUUAUUGGGCGUAAAGGGCGCGUAGGCGGCCCUUCAAGUGGUAGGUGAAAUCCCUCGGCUCAACCGAGGAGCUGCCCGCCAAACUGAAGAGCUUGAGUCCGGGAGAGGUGAGUGGAAUUCCCAGUGUAGCGGUGAAAUGCGUAGAUAUUGGGAGGAACACCAGUGGCGAAGGCGGCUCACUGGACCGGAACUGACGCUGAGGCGCGAAAGCGUGGGGAGCAAACGGGAUUAGAUACCCCGGUAGUCCACGCUGUAAACGAUGAGUGCUUGGUGUAGCGGGUAUCGACCCCUGCUGUGCCGAAGCUAACGCAUUAAGCACUCCGCCUGGGGAGUACGGUCGCAAGGCUGAAACUUAAAGGAAUUGACGG